rnacentral:rRNA from 1 species
GACAGAGGAUGCAAGCGUUAUCCGGAAUGAUUGGGCGUAAAGCGUCUGUAGGUGGCUUUUUAAGUCCGCCGUCAAAUCCCAGGGCUCAACCCUGGACAGGCGGUGGAAACUACCAAGCUGGAGUACGGUAGGGGCAGAGGGAAUUUCCGGUGGAGCGGUGAAAUGCGUAGGAGUAGACGGAAAGAACCACCACGGAGAAGCACUCUGCUGGGCCGACACUGACACUGAGAGACGAAAGCUAGGGGAGCGAAUGGG